rnacentral:misc_RNA from 1 species
AACCAUUCUCACCUGCGGCUAGACCUGCGGAAGGAUCAUUAUCGAGUGUAACUGACCCCCUAAAAAAGGGUAGUACCUCCCGUCCUUUGCAGGCCCCCUUUUUAUGGGGGGCUUUUUUUAAGACUUUCUGCUUCGGCGGGGUUACUCCCGCCGGAACACCCUCAAAAAACUCUCAAAAAAACCGUUCAGUCCGAGAACUUUUUAAAAAUAUAAAAAAAAACUUUUAACAACGGAUCUCAG